CAUCCUCAUAAAAUUGUAAAUCAAUGUGUCUUUCUCUCACUUAUCAUAAUGAAAUUCAGUACUUUUAAUCAGUUUAUAUAACGUAUUAUAUACACACUCUCAAAAUUUUGAAAGCUGUACUCAAUUCUCUAACGGGUUGAAGUUGACGGAUUAAAGAUGUGCAGUCCCGGCGCUUGUUGUCAACCUUGCUGCGUACCUUGCUGUCAACCCUGCUGUAGCCCUUGCUGUGGCCCUUGCUGUGGCCCAUGCUGUAGCCCCUGCUGUAGCCCCUGCUGUAGUCCCUGCUGUAGUCCCUGCUGUAGUCCCUGCUGUAGUCCAAACUGUUGCAGUGGUUGCUGUGGUAAAUGUGGACCGUGUUGCUCAUCAGGUUGCUGCGGUGGCUGUUGCAGCGGCUGCUGCGGUAGCUGUUGCGGUCCGUGUUGUGGCAGUUGUUGUGGAAAAUGUGGGCCAUGUUGUGGACCAUGCUGUGGGCCCUGUUGCAGUCCUUGCUGCGGCUCCUGCUGUGGUCCUUGCUGUGGACCCUGCUGCAGUCCAUGUUGCGGAUCCAAAUGCUGCUAACCCACUGAUCGUCGUCAAUCGGUUAAGCAACUGUUCAAGUCCUGCGACAAAAUACUACUGAUCUAUAUAUAUACAUACAUAUAUAUUCGUUAUGACCCGUUAGAGAAUUGAUAUAAGACAUCCACACUUCGAGCAAUAAAAGAAAAUUGUAAUUCAAGGAA